rnacentral:rRNA from 1 species
UACGUAGGGUGCAAGCGUUGUCCGGAAUUAUUGGGCGUAAAGAGCUCGUAGGCGGUCCGUCACGUCUGCCGUGAAAACCCGAGGCUUAACCUCGGGCCUGCGGUGGAUACGGGCGGACUAGAGGUAGGUAGGGGAGAAUGGAAUUCCCGGUGUAGCGGUGAAAUGCGCAGAUAUCGGGAGGAACACCGGUGGCGAAGGCGGUUCUCUGGGCCUUACCUGACGCUGAGGAGCGAAGCGUGGGGAGCGAACAGG